GAUGAACGCUGGCGGCGUGCCUAAUACAUGCAAGUCGAGCGAACAGACGAGGAGCUUGCUCCUCUGACGUUAGCGGCGGACGGGUGAGUAACACGUGGAUAACCUACCUAUAAGACUGGGAUAACUUCGGGAAACCGGAGCUAAUACCGGAUAAUAUAUUGAACCGCAUGGUUCAAUAGUGAAAGACGGUUUUGCUGUCACUUAUAGAUGGAUCCGCGCCGCAUUAGCUAGUUGGUAAGGUAACGGCUUACCAAGGCAACGAUGCGUAGCCGACCUGAGAGGGGGAACGGCCACACUGGAACUGAGACGCGGCCCAGCCUCCUAGGGGAGGCAGGAGGGGGGAAUCUUCCGAAAUGGGGGAAAGCCUGAAGGAGCAACGCCGGGUGGGUGAAGAAGGUCUUCGGGUCGUAAAACCUUUUUAUUGGGGAAAAAAAAAUGUGUAAGUAACUAUGCCGGUUUUAACGGUACCUAAACAGAAAGCCACGGCAAACCACGU
rnacentral:rRNA from 1 species